UACGUAGGGGGCAAGCGUUGUCCGGAUUUAUUGGGCGUAAAGAGCGUGUAGGCGGCCUGACAGGUCUGCUGUGAAAACUCGAGGCUCAACCUCGAGAUGUCGGCGGAAACCCUCUGGCUAGAGUCCGGAAGAGGAGAGUGGAAUUCCUGGUGUAGCGGUGAAAUGCGCAGAUAUCAGGAAGAACACCCGUGGCGAAGGCGGCUCUCUGGGACGGUACUGACGCUGAGACGCGAAAGCGUGGGGAGCAAACAGG
rnacentral:rRNA from 1 species